rnacentral:rRNA from 1 species
CAGCAGCCACGGUAAUACGGAGGGGGCUAGCGUUGUUCGGAAUUACUGGGCGUAAAGCGCACGUAGGCGGCUUUGUAAGUUAGAGGUGAAAGCCUGGGGCUCAACUCCAGAAUUGCCUUUAAGACUGCAUCGCUUGAACGUCGGAGAGGUGAGUGGAAUUCCGAGUGUAGAGGUGAAAUUCGUAGAUAUUCGGAAGAACACCAGUGGCGAAGGCGGCUCACUGGACGACUGUUGACGCUGAGGUGCGAAAGCGUGGGGAGCAAACAGGAUUAGAUACCCCUGUAGUCCCUGUCUCUUAUAC